GACGAACGCUGGCGGCGUGCUUAACACAUGCAAGUCGAACGGAAAGGCCCUGCUUUUGUGGGGUGCUCGAGUGGCGAACGGGUGAGUAACACGUGAGUAACCUGCCCUUGACUUUGGGAUAACUUCAGGAAACUGGGGCUAAUACCGGAUAGGAGCUCCUGCUGCAUGGGGGGGGUUGGAAAGUUUCGGCGGUUGGGGAUGGACUCGCGGCUUAUCAGCUUGUUGGUGGGGUAGGGGCUUACCAAGGCUUUGACGGGUAGCCGGCCUGGGAGGGUGACCGGCCACAUUGGGCCUGAGAUACGGCCCAGACUCAUACGGGCGGCAACAGUGGGGACUUUUGCACACUGGGCGGAAGCCUGAUGCAGCAACGCCGCGUGCGGGAUGACGGCCUUCGGGUUGUAAACCGCUUUCGCCUGUGACGACGCGUGAGUGCCGGUACUGGGUAAAGAAGCACCGGCUACCUACGU
rnacentral:rRNA from 1 species